ACCAGACUCCUACGGGAGGCAGCAGUGGGGAAUAUUGCACAAUGGGGGAAACCCUGAUGCAGCGACGCCGCGUGAGCGAGGAAGUAUUUCGGUAUGUAAAGCUCUGUCAGCAGGGAAGAAGAAUGACGGUACCUGAAGAAGAAGCACCGGCUAAAUACGUGCCAGCAGCCGCGGUAAUACGUAUGGUGCAAGCGUUAUCCGGAUUUACUGGGUGUAAAGGGAGCGCAGGCGGUUCUGCAAGUCUGAUGUGAAAGCCCGGGGCUCAACCGCGGGACUGCAUUGGAAACUGCGGGACUGGAGUGUCGGAGGGGUAAGCGGAAUUCCUGGUGUAGCGGUGAAAUGCGUAGAUAUCAGGAGGAACACCGGUGGCGAAGGCGGCUUACUGGACGAUGACUGACGCUGAGGCUCGAAAGCGUGGGGAGCAAACAGGAUUAGAUACCCCUGUACAA
rnacentral:rRNA from 1 species